GUGGGGAAUAUUCCGCAAUGGACGAAAGUCUGACGGAGCAACGCCGCGUGAGUGAUGAAGGUUUUCGGACUGUAAAGCUCUGUUGUUUAGGACGAAAGUGCCUGUUGCAAAUAGUUACAGGUAUUGACGGUACUGAACGAGGAAGCCACGGCUAACUACGUGCCAGCAGCCGCGGUAAUACGUAGGUGGCAAGCGUUGUCCGGAAUUAUUGGGCGUAAAGAGCAUGUAGGCGGGAAUCUAAGUCUGUUGUGAAAAUGCGGGGCUCAACCCCGCAUUGCGAUGGAAACUGGGUUUCUUGAGUGCAGGAGAGGAAAGGGGAAUUCCCAGUGUAGCGGUGAAAUGCGUAGAUAUUGGGAGGAACACCAGUGGCGAAGGCGCCUUUCUGGACUGUGUCUGACGCUGAGAUGCGAAAGCCAGGGUAGCGAACGGGAUUAGAUACCCCAGUAGUCC
rnacentral:rRNA from 1 species